GUCGGCCUAGAGAGAAGAGAGAGAGAGAGUGGCAAGCUAGAGAGAGAAAGGGAGAGAAGGGCUGCCAUUUUCUAGAGAGAAUGAGGAAAGAAAGAAGAGAAGGAGGAGAAAGAAAAGGGGUUUCAAAUCUCUAGGAUUUUGAGCAAGGAGGGGGUUCUAAUUUGGGUUCUUGAUUUCUAUCAAGAGAGGGUCGUUGUGAAGUUUGUCAGUUGUGCUUUGCUUGGACCUGAGGUAAGGAAGUUAGAUGGAGAUUUUGAUUGUUUAUACUGUGAAUGGUAAGGUUGGCUUGUGUGAAUAAGAAUGUUAAGAAUGAUGAUGCUUUUGCGAUAUGAAUUGUGAAAUGUUAUUUUGUGUUGAUAUGACUGGAUUGUAUGUUAUGAAAUGGGUGUUAGCGUGAUGUACACGACUCAACAAAAAGGGGGUUACUAAGGAUGUGAAGACGUAACCCGAGUUACUAAGGAUAAGAAGACGUAACUCAUAGGGCGGAUGCGCUGAGGUUAUUCAAGGACUAGAGGUCUUGUUUACCUCAAGAUGUGACAUGGACAAGUUAGCGGGCCAUGUUCACAUGGAUAUGAUGUUAUGUUUAUGAUGACUAUGUAUAUGAUGUUGUGCUAUGAUGAUUAUGUGCAUGAUGAUAAUGGUUACGAUAAUGAUGCUUAUGAUGUAUGACGAUGUAUAAAUAUGAAUAUGUUUUGUUGUGUUUUACUUGUGUGUUAUUUGUACUUCCUUACUGGGCUUUUAGCUCACCCCUUACUUUCCCUUCCAGGUAGAAAAUAAGUUUUCUCUUUGGGACUCAUGGUGAUGUGGGGAGUUCUAUCGUCGAGGUAUGUAUGGCGCGGGGGCAUCCUAUGGACGAGAAACGAUCAAUUAAAUGCCAUUUUCUACAGAAUAAUGUUAUGUUUAUUUUUAACUUUCAGAACUUAUCAGUGGGACUUGAACUUUAAUUAUUUUUAAAACGUUGCAUGAAAACUAUUAUUUUUCUUUUAAACUAUUGGGCCCAACUUACAUGUUUUAGCAAGGCCCCACUAGGACUUUUUAUAAUAAGUGGCUUUUCUUUUGUAAACUUAUGUGCACGUAAAUCUUUUACAAAGUAUUUGACUAGGGCAUUUUACAAAUGGUACCAGAGACAGUCGUCCAUGUUUCCAAGGACCCUCCCCAUACACGCUAAAGACAGAAAAAUCUCACCUCACCGCGCCAUAAGUAUUUGUUUUAUGUGCUAUUACUUGCUUCUAUUUUAUUUAAUUUUAUAGUUUCAUAACUACAGUAUAGUAAGAUGCCUCCCAUUUUGAAAACUACUAAGAAACAACUACUCAAGGAAAUCUGCGCAAUACCCAAGGUCCAGCUUGAGGAGGAUCUUACGAUUGGUAGAUAGCGGUAUUGAAAACAACAAAGGUGGUUUGUGAUCGCAUUCAAGGGAUCAUGAACAAAAGAGGAGCCUUGCUAUGGCCCAUAGAGAAAUAUUGGGUGUUGAGGGAAGCACUGUCAUUGUACUCUGAGGCCCUUCUCCAAUUGGACCAAGCAUGGCAUGACAUCAUUCAAGAUGACCUGAAGUUUAGUACCAUGGAAUACAUAAUUCACGAUCUUAUAGACAACUACAAUUUUAGUCGUCUGGAGCUAGUAUUAGUAAAGAAGAAUGAUAGAGAGAUAGAGGAGCAUUUGGAGACAGUACACGAUGUGGAAGGAGCUUUGGCAAUUGAGGAAGUAACUCGAGUUAUACCACGUGUGACCACUAGGAUGAGGAUAAUGGCGAGCAGUCCUGACUACUUUCACAUCCCAGAAGACAUCUUUGAUUACAAUUCAAGGGACAAGUCCACAGUUGAGGAAUAGAGUCCGUCGCAUAAAUCGUUCCAUGAGACGCUAAUAAAUAAGAUGUGAUAUUUUUAGACCUUAAAGGAUUUAUGUUUUGGUCAUUAAACACUUUUUGGGAUUGUUUAAAUUUUUGGAAUAAUUUGAACACUUUUAAUGCUAUGGUUUAAUUUUGCAAACUCUAAAUGAUGUGGUUAGAAUGAAUGCUUUUUGCAAAUACCUAUCAAACCAUCAUGCGAUGUUCCUUCCUUAUGAUUUUUCCUGUGUUUGCCUUAGAAUCUCAUAAUGUCUACUAGAGGAAUAUGAGGCAAGGGAAGAGGAGGAGGCCAAGGAGAGGGUGUCUCCACAAGGUCUAAAACCACAACAACCCCUGACAUAGAAAUGCCAUCAGUUCAACC